UACGAAGGGGGCUAGCGUUGCUCGGAUUGACUGGGCGUAAAGGGCGCGUAGGCGGUUCGUACAGUCAGACGUGAAAUUCCUGGGCUCAACCUGGGGCUGCGUUUGAUACGUGCGGACUUGAGUGCGGAAGAGGGUCGUGGAAUUCCCAGUGUAGAGGUGAAAUUCGUAGAUAUUGGGAAGAACACCGGUGGCGAAGGCGGCGACCUGGUCCGAUACUGGACGCUGAGGCGCGAAAGCGUGGGGAGCAAACAGG
rnacentral:rRNA from 1 species